rnacentral:rRNA from 1 species
UACGUAGGGUGCAAGCGUUGUCCGGAAUUAUUGGGCGUAAAGAGCUCGUAGGCGGUUUGUCACGUCGGAUGUGAAAACCCGGGGCUUAACCCCGGGCCUGCAUUCGAUACGGGCUGACUAGAGUUCGGCAGGGGAGACUGGAAUUCCUGGUGUAGCGGUGAAAUGCGCAGAUAUCAGGAGGAACACCGGUGGCGAAGGCGGGUCUCUGGGCCGAUACUGACGCUGAGGAGCGAAAGCCAGGGGAGCAAACGGG